CUAAGGGAUCACCAUUCGUCCGCCUUGAAGCACUGCGAUGAUGUCUGUCGCCGACACCGACAAUGGCCUAACCCUAGGAAGUUACCACCAAUGGACACCCUAAGAUGAGAUAAACACGGAUAUGGGGAUAGGAUUGGGAGAUGGUCUUUGUGGUGGUCGAUUCGAGCAGAUAAAGGGAAGAACCCUAAUUAUCUACUAGUUUAAUUACAUGGCUCAUGGUGUGAAUCAAACCUUAUUACCAUGGGGCUUCUACUUCCUAUCAUAGAUACUACACCUUGGCGUGCUCAGAGUAAGAAAAGGACACGAAAUGGAAAAUGACAUACCGGAGAAGAUGAUCGGAGAAUUCGCCGGUUUGUUGUGUUGCCUCAGCAUAGAUGUUCAAAUGGAGGUGCAGGUUACCACUUUUGGUUGAUGCAUGAUGCUUGACACUUCCAGCUUGGCAUUCAGAUGGAGGCAAAACAGGGAAACUUGGUUGAUUGAUCAAGAUGGAUUGCUUCCCUUAUGCUGCAAAAGUUUUGAUUUGGGGAUGGUGGGAUGCUAGGCAGGUAUGGCCCAUGGCAAGCAUGCAUUGGCUCAUGGUGCAACAGAAUUGUGGCUUGGCACCUGGAAUAUUCUGCUUGAAGGUUUUUGUCAGUUGUAUGGUCAUGUUGCAUUUGCUAGGUUGUUGGACUUGAUGAUUGUAGGUUGCAAUGUUUGUGGUUAGGUUCUGUAGAAUUUGGAUGUUUUAUGAACUUCAUGUUGUACUGUAGGUCAUAUUAGUUGCAGAUGGUUUUUACAUGGUUGGCAGGCUGCAGGUUCAUGGAUACAUGAAUUCUGCACUUGGCAUGGUGGUGUUGUAUUAAUUUAAACUUUUUUAUUCCAGUUUAGCUUUAAACACUUGGUAAUGGAAUUGAUUCACUUGGCUUGUAUUACAUGCUUCUGUUGACCUUGAUGUGCAACCCUGGUUUCCUGUGAUUCUGCACCAGGUAAUUAUAGUUUUAACCCUGCAUUUCCCUUUUGCUUUGGUUUGCUAAUGUCUUCAAAAUGGUUGCAACACGAUGCUUGUGAUGAGUUAUUUUAGAUGUGCAGUAUGUGAUGGAUCAUGUCGUUGCAAGAUGCAAUUUCAAUCCUAGCUUGGACUAAUGUAUUUGCAGGUUCAUAAAUUGGUGUUGGUUUGUGGUGAAUGGUUGUAGUUUGGAAGCAAUUUACUGUGCUCAUGAUAUGUUGUAGUAGGUAGCAUUGUAAGCUGCUAACUUGUGUUCUCUGCCACUUGACUCAGAUGCUGCAACAUGGGUUUUUCUACAGUAGUGGUGCAUUGUUCUUGAGAUGCUUACUGCUAGAUUAAUAUCAUGACAUGCCUCAGGUUCAAACUAUGUUGAAACCUCCCAUUAUGCAUAUGGUGUAUGCCUGGCCCUGGUUGCAGUCUGUUGCCAUGUUGUGUUUAGCUUUAGUCCUAUUAGUGCAGUUAUUUGCAAUGCCAUCUGCAGGUUUGGGUUGGUUGACUUGCAGAUAGGUUGUUGUCUGCACUGGUGUAGGUUCAGAUGGUAUGCAUGACUAGCUCAAAAUAUGUCUUGGCAUGCUUCCAUGAAUGAAAAUGGUUGUGCUUUCAUAACAGGUUUUGGCUUGGGCAUUGGCAACUAACACAUGGCUUUACUUCAUGGCUUGGCUUUUAUGUUGGUCAUGAUUUGGUUGGUGCAAAUUAGGCAAGAUAGAAAUUAAUGGUCAAAUCAAACUCCAAAGGUUUAAGUGUUAAUUGCAGGUUUAUCAAGGCAUGUGGAUUGGCAUAGUAGCAAGGUGAGGAUAUGGUCAUGGUUUCAAGGCAAUGUUGCAUAUCAUGAAAAACAAACAAAACAUGAUGCAAAUGAUGGCUUUUAUUCAUGGACACCUUGGUCAUGACAUUGAAAUGGGAGAUUAGGAUGAAGUAAAUAGGAUUAGGUUUAGGGGAUGUGAGUUAAAUUUGUUCAAAGUUGACCAAAAAGUCAAUUGUUGACCAAGGUCAACACUUUGGUCAAAGUUGCCAAAAUUUAUGAAAUUUCAU